rnacentral:RNase_P_RNA from 1 species
AUUUUCGGGUAAUCGCGGCUGUUUUUACAGCUGAGGAAAGUCCAUGCUCGCACAAGACUGAGAUUGUCUGUAGUGUUCGUGCUUAGCGAAACCAUAAGCUAAGGUACUUCUUUUGGAGUAACGGCAGAAAAAAGGGCUAAGGAGCAAUCUAUGCCUGAGUAUUCUUGAAAGUGCCACAGUGACGAAGCAUUUUAGGAAACUAAAAUGGUGGAACGCGGUAAACCCCUCGAGCGAGCAACCCAAACAACGGUAGGGGCACUCUUUCUAAGGAAAUGAACGAUGAAGGAGCCGACAUUGUCGGAGAUAGAUGAUUACCACGUUAGGCAGCUUUCCCUGAGGUGUCUAGCGUACAGAACAUGGCUUACAGAA